AUGACUACUACCACAUCGCUACUAUCAGAGUAAAGAGCACCAGGAGUCACCUGCCAUGGCCCAGCAAGGUGCACUGUAUUCGGGCACACGCUCGAAGUUGCCGGUGUGAUGCCACAAAGGUCUCUGGCAAACCUUUUGCACAAGAUGCCCAAAGCAUUGUAGCGAUGUGACGUUUCAGGUGGUACAACUAGCAACUAGCAUUUGGUACAACUGGCACAUGAAAUGUAUUUCUAUGAAAGAGAAUGUUUGUUUACAAAUGAGCUCAGGGCACGCUAAGACAGGGCAUAGAAAAAAAGGCAGAAGAAAAAAGGAGAGCUGGAUUUGCUCACCCACACAGUACGGGCAAACUCAUUGACUCAUUUUAAAAAUGAUCGGUUAUCUGAUCCAAUUUUUGAUGUUAUUGGAUUUAUGGGUAUGAUAUCAUAAUUGCCUCAUAUCAAGAAAAUGACAAAAACACAUUUGCUUGAGAUGCAAAUCUCACCAUUUUCAUUUCAAAUGGGGAACCUCACAUCUCAUUCUGGGAUCAUCUGGAUCACAUGACCCCAAUCCGUCCCGUCUGAGGCACUUCCCCCACUUUGUGCCCCCAACACACACACACACACACACGGGGGUCUUUAAAUCUCAACUGUGAUAUCAAGGUCUCAAUCUGGGUUUGGCUGAGAUUUAAGCUGUCCUACAUCCUGCCCUAAAUAGCCAAAUUAUCUGGAGGAGCGGAAGGCCCCCCUGAAGGUGCAGGUCAGCAAUUAAGCAGCAGCAGGAAUAAUUUGAGAUUAACACAAGUAGAGCUACUGCCGAAGGACGUCAAAACAAAAAAGAGUCACUCCGACCUGUGUGAACGUUGCCUUUAUGUUUCUUCAAAGCGUCCUUGCUCUUGAACCGCUUGCCGCAGCUCUCUUCCUUGCAGAUGAACCUGGCGUCUCCUUUGCAUGCCUCCUUGUGUUGCUCAAAGCUGCAGAGCCACAGGAGAGAGGAGGGUUCAGCGUUGGGCUUCCAAAGAAGACUGGAAGGUGCCUUACCUGGACUCUGAGCUAAAUGUACUCUGACACAAAGAACACUGAUGGACCUUGGAGUCUCCUGAAGGGCUGACCACCUCGGAGCAAUGGAGCACGCUGGAGGGAAGUGGAAAAUACAAGCAGCUCCUGCAUUUGAACUCCUUCUCCUCGGUGCUGGGCCUCUGGUGGAGGCUCUGCAGGUGUGCGGCCAGGAUCUCCUCGCUGGGGAAGCUGCUCUCGCACAGCAAACAGGGGUGGUCUUCCUUCUUGAUGACCAGCUCUAGAGGCGAGCAGGAGGGCCAUGGCAGUCAACACACAGCCAGGAAGGUUGAGGAUACAGCUUGGUGGAAGAACAUGGGUACCCAUUUCAACCAGGUGCUUGGCCUCUUUACUGCUGUCAUCCUCAUCCUUGGUGACCUCCUCCUCUUCUUCUUCCUCCUCCUCCAUGUCGCUGUCCAGGAAGCCAAUCAGGAGUUCCGUGUCCGUCUCAAUGUCGUCCACUGCCAAGUAGAAGAUGUUCUCUCCAUCCUGGAACAUAACAACCACCACAUCAGGAACAAGAGAGGAGAGGCACGCCACGCACGAGCAGGAGCCUAGUGGGGAUGGUGGUGGAGUGGCUUCACGGACGGACCUGAGGUCCAUUUUUGUAAACUUCCCUUGCCAUCCUUUGCCAAAUGUUCUCCACUGGAUUUAAAUCCGGGGAACACGUGGGAUCGUUUAAAAGAGUGAGCUUAUUCCUCUGGAAGAUAUGCGUUGUCAUGUUGGGAAAAAAACUUCAUUACCACACAGACGAGGGACUUCAGUCACGAGGGAUGCCUCCUGCAACAUCUCCACAUAGCCAACUGUCAUUUGACGCCCCUGCACAACCUGAAGCUCCAUUGUUCCAUUGAAGGAUCAUGAUGGCACCCCCUCCAUGUUGGAAGCCACGAGGACCAUCAAGGUUAUAUUUUUUUUCA